rnacentral:rRNA from 1 species
UUNUGAACUGGGUAGCUAGAGUAUNUCAGAGGGGGGUAGAAUUCCACGUGUAGCAGUGAAAUGCGUAGAGAUGUGGAGGAAUACCGAUGGCGAAGGCAGCCCCCUGGGAUAAUACUGACGUUUAUGCUCGAAAGCGUGGGUAGCAAACAGGAUUAGAUACCCUGGUAGUCCACGCCCUAAACGAUGUCGAUUAGCUGUUGGGCAACUUGAUUGCUUAGUAGCGUAGCUAACGCGUGAAAUCGACCGCCUGGGGAGUACGGUCGCAAGAUUAAAACUCAAAGGAAUUGACGGGGACCCGCACAAGCGGUGGAUGAUGUGGACUAAUUCGAUGCAACGCGAAGAACCUUACCUGGUCUUGACAUGUACGGAAGAACUCAGAGACGAGUUUGUGCCUUCGGGAGCCGUAACACAGGUGCUGCAUGGCUGUCGUCAGCUCGUGUCGUGAGAUGUUGGGUUAAGUCCCGCAACGAGCGCAACCCUUGUCAUUAGUUGCCAUCAUUUAGUUGGGCACUCUAAUGAGACUGCCGGUGACAAACCGGAGGAAGGUGGGGAUGACGUCAAGUCCUCAUGGCCCUUAUGACCAGGGCUUCACACGUCAUACAAUGGUCGGUACAGAGGGUAGCCAAGCCGCGAGGUGGAGCCAAUCCCAGAAAACCGAUCGUAGUCCGGAUUGCACUCUGCAACUCGAGUGCAUGAAGUCGGAAUCGCUAGUAAUCGCAGGUCAGCAUACUGCGGUGAAUACGUUCCCGGGUCUUGUACACACCGCCCGUCACACCAUGGGAGUGGGGGAUACCAGAAGUAGGUAGGGUAACCGCA